GGCCGGUUAGCUCAGUGGGUUGAGCGCGGUGCUGACAACAAUGACAACACCGAGUUUGCGGGUUCUACUCCCGCUCAGUCG
rnacentral:tRNA from 1 species